AGAUGUUCUCAGAGUCCAUUUCUUUCCAUUUCUUGCUCCUGCCCUCUUCCUCAGGUUCCCUUCAUCAAUAAGCUGACUGCCCACAUGGCAGUGCUAUGGCUCUGGCAUCUCUAAGCCUCACAUCAUAUCCCUCAAAUUUAGUAAACAGAGGUAAUGGUCUCCUAGAAACCUCAACAAACAUCUCUCCAAAUCUCAUUCUGAUUGGCUCUGAGCCAUCCUUGAAUCACUGAGGCCAAGGUUUUAGUACUGAUCCACUGCAACUGGGAAAUUGAUGAGUUACCCAAGGAGAAUUCCUGGGAGAAGAGGGAAGUAAAAGCUGGGAAGUCAAACAGCAAGUGUUCAAGUAUGGUCUGAUCAAUGCUGAGUCAGUUCACUGAUUGGUGUUUGCAUCACUGGAGUGCCCAACCAUGGAAUGUGAAAUCUACUGCCAACUAUGCAAUUCCAAAGACAUAGUAAAGACCACUGUCAAGUCCUCUCCUUGAGCAUGAAAAUGAAACAAGAAAUCGAGAAACUUGCCUAUGAUCCCACAGCUACGUAAACAGGGAAGAUAGAAUCCAGGAAUUCUGGCUCCAGAACCCAUGCUUUUAACUAAUAAAAAGAAAAUGCUUAAAC